rnacentral:rRNA from 1 species
CCAGCAGCCGCGGUAAUUCCAGCUCCAAUAGCGUAUAUUAAAGUUGUUGCAGUUAAAAAGCUCGUAGUUGGAUUUCUGGUUUCGCUUGCGGCGGUCCGGCCUUUAAUGGUCUGUGUAUCGCUCGCUAGCAACCAUCCUUCCGGGGAGCGUGUCUACCCUUCACUGGGCUGGAUUCGCGACCUGGAUCGUUUACUUUGAAAAAAUUAGAGUGUUUAAAGCAGGCGUAUAGCUCUGAAUACAUUAGCAUGGAAUAAUAAUAUAGGACUCUGGUCCUAUUUUGUUGGUUUCUAGGACGAGAGUAAUGAUUGAUAGGGACAGUUGGGGGUGCUCGUAUUGGACGGCCA